GGGUAUAUAACUCAGUGGAUUAGAGUUUAUGGCUACGNACCAUAAAGUCGGGGGUUCGAAUCCCUCUAUACUCACCA
rnacentral:tRNA from 1 species